rnacentral:sRNA from 1 species
UGUAUCUGAAGUCUGACGAGGAUGAGAACCUCCGGAGGCAAGAGGUUCGACCCGAGCGAAGCGAGAGAGCGUUGCGUCAGCAACGGCCCGCAGGGCGAGCCACGCAGUGGCGAGUCAUC